UACAAUUUUCCUACAUGUUUUCUCAAUUUUUCCCACGUUGCAUAAGUCUUUGCCACUGAGUGGUCUUUGCAUGCUGAGGUUUCUCAAACUAGCAAACAGUUUGGCUUUCCGUCACUUCCGAAGUGUUCUACGACCAUCAAGUUCGUCGCAAACGCCGAUUCUUCACGGAAAAACUAGCAGACAUUGGACAGUGACGAUACUUGCUAGAAUGUCUUCUACCGGCGACGAGAACGCCACAACUGGG